GAUGAACGCUAGCGGCAGGCUUAACACAUGCAAGUCGAGGGGUAUGCUUCUUCGGAAGCAGAGACCGGCGCACGGGUGCGUAACGCGUAUGCAAUCUACCUUUUACAGAGGGAUAGCCCAGAGAAAUUUGGAUUAAUACCUCAUAGUAUUAUAGAAUGGCAUCUAUUUUAUAAUUAAAGUCACAACGGUAAAGAUGAGCAUGCGUCCCAUUAGCUAG
rnacentral:rRNA from 1 species